AGGAACUCUGGAGAAUCUCUUAAAUGAGUGCCGAAGGUGCAAGUCGUAUCUUGGAGAUAUGGCGAAACUCUCAGGCAAAAGGACAGAGCGGGAA
rnacentral:ncRNA from 1 species